rnacentral:rRNA from 1 species
GCCCAAGAGAUCGGGAUAACACCUGGAAACAGAUGCUAAUACCGGAUAACAACAGAUGAUGCCUAUCAACUGUUUAAAAGAUGGUUCUGCUAUCACUCUUGGAUGGACCUGCGGUGCAUUAGCUAGUUGGUAGGGUAACGGCCUACCAAGGCGAUGAUGCAUAGCCGAGUUGAGAGACUGAUCGGCCACAUUGGGACUGAGGCACGGCCCAAACUCCUACGGGAGGCAGCAGUC